AUUGAACGCUGGCGGCAGGCUUAACACAUGCAAGUCGAACGAGUGGCGGACGGGUGAGUAAUGCCUGGGAAUCUGCCUUAUGGAGGGGGAUAACGACGGGAAACUGUCGCUAAUACCGCGUACCAUCGGAUGUGCCCAGGUGGGAUUAGGUAGUUGGUGGGGUAAUGGCCUACCAAGCCGACGAUCCCUAGCUGGUCUGAGAGGAUGACCAGCCACACCGGAACUGAGACACGGCCCGGACUCCUACGGGAGGCAGCAGUGGGGAAUAUUGCGCAAUGGGGGCAACCCUGACGCAGCCAUGCCGCGUGAAUGAAGAAGGCCUUCGGGUUGUAAAGUACUUUCUGUGACGAGGCGUUAAUCACAGAAGAAGCACCGGCUAACUCCGUGCCAGCAGCCGCGGUAAUUC
rnacentral:rRNA from 1 species